UGCGACACAGCCUUAAGUUUCCGCAACUUGCGAAAACCUGACCAAGGCAAUACCGCGUGAGGGUGACGGCCUAUGGGUUGUAAACCUCUUUUUUCAGGGAGGAAUAAAUGACGUGUACCUGAAGAAUAAGCAUCGGCUAACUCCGUGCCAGCAGCCGCGGUAAGACGGAGGAUGCAAGUGUUAUCCGGAAUCACUGGGCGUAAAGCGUCUGUAGGUGGUCAAAUAAGUCAACUGUUAAAUCUGGAGGCUCAACCUCAAAACCGCAGUCGAAAAUAUUAGAUUAGAGUAUAGUAGGGGUAAAGGGAAUUUCCAGUGGAGCGGUGAAAUGCGUAGAUAUUGGAAGGAACACCGAUGGCGCAGGCACUUUACUGGGCUAUUACUAACACUCAGAGACGAAAGCUAGGGUAGCAAAUGGGAUUAGAUCCCCAGUAGUCCUAGCUGUAAACCAUGGAUACUAGAUGUUGAACAGAUCGACCUUGCAGUAUCAAAGCUAACGCGUUAAGUUCCCGCCUGGGAAGACGAUU
rnacentral:rRNA from 1 species